AGAAUCAACGCUGGCGGCGUGCCUAACACAUGCAAGUCGAACGAGAAAGUGGAGCAAUCCAUGAGUAAAGUGGCGCACGGGUGAGUAACACGUGACUAACCUACCCUUGAGUGGGGGAUAACUGAGGGAAACCUUAGCUAAUACCGCAUAAUACCUACGGGUCAAAGGAGCAAUUCGCUUAAGGAGGGGGUCGCGGCAGAUUAGCUAGUUGGCGGGGUAAUGGCCCACCAAGGCAGUGAUCUGUAUCCGGCCUGAGAGGGCGCACGGACACACUGGAACUGAAACACGGUCCAGACUCCUACGGGAGGCAGCAGUGGGGAAUUUUGCGCAAUGGGGGAAACCCUGACGCAGCAACGCCGCGUGGAGGAUGAAGUCCCUUGGGACGUAAACUCCUUUCGACCGGGACGAUAAUGACGGUACCGGAAGAAGAAGCCCCGGCUAACUUCGUGCCAGCAGCCGC
rnacentral:rRNA from 1 species